AACCUCUAAAGAUCCUCACCCACUAGUAUAGUGAGAAGGAUGAAGGAAUAACCAAAAGGGUGUAAGAGAGGAUAGUAAAAACCCCCUUUGGUGGCCGGCUUUUGUGGUUCAAGAGAGCUAUUUUCUUUUGCCUCUUUUGUUGUUCAAAACUCACAAAAAAACCCUAAUGAACAAUAUCUUAUAAAGUUCCUUAUAUAGACAAAAGAAACCUAGUCAACACUUGACUAAAUAUCUCUCCUUUCUUCACCUAAAGUGGCCGGCCCCCUUUGUGUGUUGUUUUUGGGCUUUGGGCUUUUAUUAUUUCAAGUCAUCCAAUGCUUGAAUAAAAGCCCAAUGGGUUUAGGUCCAAUGGGCCUAAUUAAACCCGAACGUUUCUUUAAGCCCAAAACGAUCUUUAUCGCUUUUAUGAUUUCUUUAGACUUUUUCUAAAUUAAUC
rnacentral:lncRNA from 1 species